AUUGAACGCUGGCGGCAUGCCUUACACAUGCAAGUCGAACGGCAGCGCGGACUUCGGUCUGGCGGCGAGUGGCGAACGGGUGAGUAAUACAUCGGAACGUACCCUGUUGUGGGGGAUAACUAGUCGAAAGAUUAGCUAAUACCGCAUACGACCUGAGGGUGAAAGUGGGGGACCGGAAACGGCCUCAUGCAGCAGGAGCGGCCGAUGUCUGAUUAGCUAGUUGGUGGGGUAAAGGCCCACCAAGGCGACGAUCAGUAGCUGGUCUGAGGGGACGAUCAGCCACACUGGGACUGAGACACGGCCCAGACUCCUACGGGAGGCAGCAGUGGGGAAUUCUGGACAAUGGGGGCAACCCUGAUCCAGCAAUGCCGCGUGUGUGAAGAAGGCCUUCGGGUUGUAAAGCACUUUUGUCCGGAAAGAAAUCGCGCUGGUUAAUACCUGGCGUGGAUGACGGUACCGGAAGAAUAAGCACCGGCUAACUACGUG
rnacentral:rRNA from 1 species